rnacentral:lncRNA from 1 species
UUCUCUUUCCCCUUGGCCACCGCCCCCCCUGCCCAUCUCCUCCUCUCUCAAUUCUUGCAGCCACCAAACCCUAGCCGCCCCCCCUCUCAAUCCCCUCCUCCCAAGGUGUCAAUCCUUGCCGCUCGGAUCAUCGUCGUCGUGGUGCGAGUCUUCAAUCGUUUUGGUGGAGGGAAGAAGGGAGGAAGGAAAGGGGGAGAAUCCAAGGUGAUUUUUGUGUUCAUCCCUUGUUCAUUUGCGCUGCAAUUUAAUUGAUUAGAGGUUGCGUUUGCGAUUGGGUAGAGGGGGCUGUCCAGAAUUUUAGGUGGUGGGUGAACAGCAGUAGUCUAGCAGUUUCUGUGUUUUUUUCGUGAGGAAUUAAGGGAAAUCAGUUUGGGGAUCAUGUAGAACUUUACCUUACCUUUCCAACGAGUAUUUAUGCGCUCAAUUUGGAGUUAUAAAUUGAAAGUUAUCACCGUUUGAAUCCGGGUACGUGGCUGUCAAAAAAACAGAUUUUCAGGGGGAUGAACAGCAGCAGUAUUAGCAGUUUCUGGGGAUUUUUCGGGAGUAAUUAGUGUUAAUCAGUAUGAGAAUCAUGUAGGGCUUUAUGUUAUCUUUCCAACAAGUACUUAUGCGCUCGAUUCGGAGUUAUAAUUCAGGAGAUAUCGUUGUUUGAAUCCGGUUAUGUUGCUGUCCAAAAAAACAGAUUUUUCAGGUGGGUGAACAGCAGUGGUAUUAGCAGUUUCUGGGAAUUUUUCGUGGGUAAUUAGUGUUAACCAGUAUGGUAAUCAUGUAGGGAUUUGUCUUAUCUUUCCAAUGAGUACUUAUGUGCUUUAUUUGGAAUUAUAUUUUAAAAGAUAUCGCUGUUUGAAUCUGGGUAUGUCGCUGUCCAAAAGACAAAGAAAAACAGAUUACAGGGUUCAUCUUGUGGACUGUUUUGGGCUAAUUAGAUAUUGGAAUUUAAUUAUAAAUUGUAUACAAAACUUGUGGGGAAUUUUAUGUAGAUGCCUCUGGAGUUUUUGUUUGUUACCACUGCUGUCAUAAUUUUAAAGUUAUGAAAUUAUUAAGCAGCGCCGCUGCAGUUUGGUGGGUGUAGGGAGAGAUGUAACCCGCGGCGGGGUUUGAGUUUGUGCGUAGGUGCGGUGUCACUUAUGAGCCUGAUUAUGUGAAAUUGGUGUACUAAAUUGGGUGUCAAAAACAGGUGGUGGACUUCCGGAUCGUACUUAGGGAUUUGCCCGAACUUCCGGUAAAGGCAAGUAAAUGCAGUGGUGGUUGCUACCGUUUGGUUUGCAUCCUAUUCCCUGUCAUUGAGUAUGCAUAAGUUUUAAUUAUGUUAAUCAUUGAAUUCUAUGAUGAAGUUUAUUUGUUUGGAAGUAUUAAUUCUCAAUUGUCUAAUAUUGUGGAUGAUCAUAAUUUGGUAAUGAUAUAUGUGGUUGAUUCCCAUCUGGAUGAAGUUGAAGUGUCUUUUUGAAUCAUGUUAUAUGAAGUGUUGUAGGCAUGACAUGCACAUCGUAUCAUCCAUCUUGCAUUUUGAAGUUAUGUCGUGAUCUUAUGGUCCGACCGUACCGGUACAUUUUUAGCAUCGUACGUUGCCCGAGGAGGGGUACGAUGCGGCUUCAUAUCCUUAGAGGUAUGAAGGCAGAAGUCAUCCUUGCAUUUGCAGACAUUUGCACUCAUGAGGAAUAUAUGAAGUGUGACAUUACUAUGUUACUAUUGUGGUUUCUACCUGCGAGGUGUGGUAACUAGGUGCGUUGUACGUUGUAUACGUGCUGCACCUUCGUAAUAAGGAGGUUGUGGAAUUAAGUGGUGGUAAAACAAUGUUCUUAUGUGGUUAAACUGUUUGAUAUUAUUUUACUUGCUGAGAUGUGUCAUCUCACUCUUGCAUUACUCAAUGCAGGUACUUGAUACAUGUUGGGAAUGAGGGGAGUAGCAGCACGUCCACUUUCACUCUCACAAUAACGCUGCCCAGGUGCAGCCAUGAUUUAAUUAGAAACUUAUUGUCAAAGGAAGUUUGUUUAUUUUUUUAUAUGGUCGUGCGCACUGGUUAAUUCAGUUCAGGUCGUAUGUUUAUCUUUCCUUGCUAGCCGAGUAAUAAUACUUAGUAUGUUUUAGUCAUGAUAUAUGUUUAUACUCUGUUGCUCCCUCUUUUAUGCAAUCUUGCAAAGGGGAUGUUGCCGAAAUUUUAUAUAUGGACGUCGGAAGUGUAGUACAGUAGCAUACCGGGUUGUUUGUGGAACCUAGAGUGUUACAAGUUACUAGGCCUCGAGAGCUGCUACUCUACGUAAUCGUUUAGUUGCCUGCACUCGUCUCUCACGACACCACGAUUGUCCAUUCACUGCCAAGCACGAGUACUGAAAUUGUCAUCGAGUCCGUGACGGUGGCAGCUGGCCAGCGCGCCAGCGCAUCUCCUAUCUCCUGGAAUGACUAAUGACCUGAACAGAAACAAGUGUCAAUUGCC